GCUUUUUUGCUGACGACCGGCGCACGGGUGCGUAACGCGUAUGCAAUCUACCUUUUGCUAAGGGAUAGCCCAGAGAAAUUUGGAUUAAUACCUUAUAGUAUGAUGACUUGGCAUCAAGAUAUCAUUAAAGGUUACGGCAAAAGACGAGCAUGCGUUCUAUUAGCUAGUUGGUGUGGUAACGGCAUACCAAGGCAACGAUAGAUAGGGGUCCUGAGAGGGAGAUCCCCCACACUGGUACUGAGACACGGACCAGACUCCUACGGGAGGCAGCAGUGAGGAAUAUUGGAUAAUGGAGGCAACUCUGAUCCAGCCAUGCCGCGUGCAGGAAGACUGCCCUAUGGGUUGUAAACUGCUUUUAUACAGGAAGAAACUCCUCUACGUGUAGAGAUUUGACGGUACUGUAAGAAUAAGGAUCGGCUAACUCCGUGCCAGCAGCCGCGGUAAUACGGAGGAUCCAAGCGUUAUCCGGAAUCAUUGGGUUUAAAGGGUCCGUAGGUGGAUAAUUAAGUCAGAGGUGAAAUCCUGCAGCUUAACUGUAGAAUUGCCUUUGAUACUGGUUGUCUUGAGUUGUUAUGAAGUGGUUAGAAUAUGUAGUGUAGCGGUGAAAUGCAUAGAUAUUACAUAGAAUACCAAUUGCGAA
rnacentral:rRNA from 1 species